UACAAUCGUUGCAGCGAAGAGGGUCUCGUUUUGUUUAUUGCAAAACUGUAAACCAAAACUGUAUGAAACAACAGAGUGUGUAUUUCUUUCCAGGCUUAGGGUCAGUUCCACCAGAUAGUGAAAGCAUGCAUCAACUCUCAACGCAUGCAGUCCAGUUAAACUUGGACGAUCCUCAAGUUGGGAAUGAUGAAGAUUGCGGCUCACACUGUCCUUUUUGCAAGUGCUGAAGUUACACGUUCAUCGAGAAAAAGUGCAUUGGGUGGUUUAGGGUCAAUGUGCCUGGAUUCCUGGAUUGAUUGAUGACGCAAGGUGGCCAACGUGGCCUCCACUUCUCGCCGAAAUGAGCGCAACUGAGAAAAUU